rnacentral:misc_RNA from 1 species
UUCAAUGGUAGCCAGUCUGCGC